rnacentral:rRNA from 1 species
GUCAGCAUACUGUGGUGAAUACGUUCCCGGGCCUUGUACACACCGCCCGUCACACCAUGAGAGUUGAGAAUACCCGAAGCCCAUGUCAAAGUGGUCGAAGGUAGGCUUGAUGAUUGGGGUGAAGUCGUAACAAGGUAGC